UAUACUGUAUGCACAUGCACGCAUGCAAGUAAGCAAGUUAAAGGAACAUGAGAACUUAAGAGAAUAAUACAAUACUUAUUUUUUCCUGACUUCAAAUCUUUUUUUUCUGUCAACAUUUUCCCCUAAUUUUCCUUCCCCAACAAGAAAAAAGAACAAAGAGAGAGAAGUGUUUUGUUUGAAUUUAGAGUGAGAAGAAAAUCAAACACCAUUUUUCUCAUAAUUUUUGCAAAGGCUAUUAAAGGGAUUUGAGUGGGGAGCUCUUCCUUGAAUAGAAUUGCCCUGGAUGGAAUUCCAUCCUGCCAUUGUUGCCGCCAGGCACAUUCAGGGGAACUGGAUGUAUUGAGAGUCCUAGACUCUUUCAUUUUCCAUCUCACUGUUUCUCUUAUGUCCGAAAGUAGUAUAUUUGGGUAAAUACUUAUUUGGAUUCCAAUCUCUGUGAAAUUGAGCUGAAUUUAUUAGGUUUGUUUUAUUGAUUUGAAUUAAAAUUGAACUCCACUUGUAGCAAACAAUACAGUGCUUUGAUCAUUUUAAUUCUUGUUCUGAUCUUAAGUGGGGAUAGUUUAAGCUCAUUUUGGUUAAAUCAGUUUAUGGUCAAAUUGGCUAAUCUUCUUAACAAAUAUUUACUGAGCAUCAACUAUAUUCAUUAACACUGAAUUUUGUUAAGAUGAAAGGAAAUAUAACAGGUUUUCAGACCUUGAUCCUUGAAAAGUUAACCAAUUCAAGGAUGCUAAAUGAGUGAUAAGGUAUUCAAAGCCCUUUGGAAGUUUGAGACCAGGAACUUCUAUAAGUCCUGAUUUGUAAUCAGGCAGUACUGGCACACUUUCUAGUGGGAGACAACCCUCAAGGUAAAUUUACUCUUUGGCAUUCUGAGCAUAUGCAAGUUGAAAACCACUGCUUGAGGCUCUGAAAGUCAUUGAGGAGUUCCCAUCGUGGCUCAGCAUAAACAAAUCCUACUAGGAACCAUGAGGUUUCAGGUUCCAUCCUUGGCCUUACUCAGUGGAUUAAGGAUCUGGCAUUGCCGUGAGCUGUGGUGUAGGUCAAAGACAUAGCUCAGAUUCCACGUUGCUACGGCUCUGGUGUAGGCUGGUGGCUACAGCUCUGAUUAGACCCCUAGCCUGGGAACCUCCAUAUGCAGUGGGAGCAGCCCUAGAAAAGACAGAAAGACAACAACAACAACAACAACAGCAAAGAAAUAAAGAAGACAUUGAAACAAUUUGUGCAGACAAUCACUAAAUAAAAAGUGGAUGAAACCAGAGCAAUGGGUAGAUUGCAAUAAAUUCUACUAUCAUAAUGUGAAAAACCCUCUCUAUAGAAGAUACAAAUACUAUUCCGUAGGUAUGAGCUUAAGUUAGAAGGACUUUAGUUUAUAAAGGCAUUUCUGGUGGGAAGCUUGAGUUCUUUUUAAAUAAGAUCAUUGAUUUUUGUCCAGUGAAAUUGUCAAACUUAGAGCAUGGAAUCAUUCAGAACAAACACUAUUUAGUAAUUUUGAAACCAGGCAUGGAAUUGAAUGCUUAGAUUUCAAGCAAAGAGAAUAUGAAUAAAUGCCAAAGAAGUACAAUGGCAUCUUAAGACUGGAACUUGGAUAGAAUGUUAACCUAAGAGCCCUUAAGUCUUCCCAUUUUUCUUAGUUACCGUCUAUAUAAUCAUCUCUUUGACUAAGCAGCAGUAAAAUGUUAGCUUGGAACCAACAUUCAGAUGUGAAUUGCUUCAAGUUAGUCCAUUUACCCUCUCAGUGAACUUAAAAUGUGUUUCAAAUCAUAUAAAUCUCAGAUUUCUCAGCAACAAAAUGUAAAAUAAUAAUUGUUACCAAACCUACCUUCCAGAACUGUGAGGGUUCUGUAAGAAGUAAAUUAGUCUGCUGUAAAAAAUGGAGAAGCCCACAUUUGAAACAUUGUCAUUGCUGUUCUAUGAUAAUUUUUUUCUAAUGUUCAGAAACUCAAGUGUGUUUUAAAUUCUAUCUUUCAAUAACUUUCUUGUAGACAGAAACACAGAUAUUCCUGUGUUAUUUCUUAAGUCUUUUCUUCUCUUAUAAAACAUAAAACUGUCUGAUCUACACAUUCAUUAGUCUAAUCUGCGACCAGAGGAAAGGUGAAGGCAUAUUAAAAUAUUUAUAAAAUCUGUCACUAGGAAAACUGUAAUUGUGGACAAAAUAAUGAGAAAACAAUUUAUACAUUAAUAAGUAGAGUAUAAUUGUGAACUUGUGAAAUGGUUAAUUGAACAUUGUAUUCCAAAACCAUGUUAUUUCUUAAAAUCUACAACUGUCAAAGAAUUUGAAAAACAAAUGUCUUAAGAUUUAAAAGCUAUUUUUAUAUUUAAAACUUACUAUUGAUUCCACAAUAAAGUGCUACAUGGCAGAAAUAUUAUUAGCUAAACAAACAUAUAUUUGGCUAAAAAAAUAAUUUUGACCAAAUUGAUAUUCCAUUGUCAGUAUUCAUGCCCUAUAUAUGUGGUUUCAAAUGAAAUUUUGGCCACCCCAAAAAACCUAGGUAACAGGAACCAUCUCAUCCACAAAAUGAUUUGUUUAUUUUUUAAGCUAAUUGCAUCCCAGUAAUAAUUUUAAAUGUUAUUCCUCUACCUACCUAAUGAAAAAUAUUGGGUUCUUAAUUUGCCAUUUCUUAACUCACUCACUACUUCUCAUAGACAAAACCAAGAAAUUUCUACCUGUGUAGGCAGGUAAAGUUUUGGGUUUUAGAAUAAGCCUUAGAAAGUUCAGAGUCUAACUGUACUACAUCAUACCUAGGGCAAGUUGGCUCCUGUUCUGUGAAAAUGGAGAUUAUAUCAUUUCUUUUCAAAUUUUUUAUAAAGGUGAAAAGGGGAUAUGCAUAGCACAAAUGAACUAGCUUGAUGCCUACCUCUUGCUGAAUGCUUAGUAAUCAUUGGUAUUGCCAUUCAGCCAAUCAUUCAUGAAUAAGAAAGAGACGGGACAGACAAAAAUUGUAGGCAUAUAAUAGAGUAUAAUAAGUAUGCUGAAGUAUGCAGAACAAGAUAAUGAAACAAAAAUGUCUAACUCAGAUUUGAGAGAGAUGUACAAGUAUUGGUUUAAUCAUUCAGUCCCUUGACAAGUAUUUAUUUAAUGCCUACUGUAUACUAUUCAUUGUCCAAGAAGCUAAAAAUCGGUAAAAGAAAAAGAUACUGUGUGUUCUACGGAACAGGUAUCAUCUUGUGUGAGAAGACAGUAUUCUAAUUAUUACUACACUAAAUAUAAAUCACCACUGUAACGGUCGCUACUAAGUAACCCAGAGCUUCUCAGCUGAGGGUGAUUUUGUUCCUCCCUGGAGACAAUUGACAAUGUAUAGAGAUUGAGUUGUCACACUGGGGGCGUGCUACUGGCAUAAUAGGUACAUGUGACCCUCGGUAUCCAUGGCAGAUUGGUUCCAAGAAGCACUGUGGAUACCAAACUCCACAGACGUUCAAGUCCCUUAGUCACCCCCAGACCCACGGGUUCUACAUGGGCAGAUUCUGCAUCCAGAGAUUCAACCAACUGAGAAUUAUAAGCAUACUAUGCUAUCUGCGAUUAGUUGGAUCCACAGAACCCUUGGAUUCAGAAGGCUGUUGUAUUUAGUAAAUAUCUGUAUAGCAAAUGAAUUGGUUGUGAAAAGGUGAAGCACGUAUAUAAAGUCUGGGCUUAGAGAAAGCAGGUUAUGCUAAGGAGCUGAAAUAAGGCUGGUGAGUUUGGAAUCAAAGCAAGCAAGAGGAUGAUUCCAUUGAGAAAACCAAUGAGAAUGGGUGUAUAGAUAUUUAAUCUCUAUUUACAAAUCUCAAUUACUUUGUAUGUAAAACUUAAAUUGUCCCUCCUGAAAAUCCAUAUAAUUUCUUUUUAUUUUGUUCUCGUUGGAAAACAGGUUAUACAUGUUUAAGUGAAUCCAAUCUUUUCUUUCUUUUUUUCCUUCCUUCUUUUCUUUUUCUUUCUUUCUUUCUUUCUUUCUUUCUUUCUCUUUCUCUUUCUUUCUUUCUUUUUUUGUCAAAGAAGUCUAAAAUAUACUAAACCUAUCAUUUUGUCUCUGCUGAUUUCUCUUUUCCAAGUUCUUAGAAUUGUGGUUUAGAUCAAGAGCACCAAGAAGUAUCAUUUAAUGACUUGAACAAUUGUAUAUGUAAGAACAAAUAACUGGGAGGGGUUGGAUUCCUUAGAGCAGUAGUUCUUGUGGAUGGGAUGCUGGAGCAGAAAUAGGAUAUUUCAAAAAAGUUGAAAGAUCUGUUUUGACUUUCUAUUCCUGACAUUUGCAUCCAACCAAAAAAAUGGAACAUUCCUCUCUCAGAUGAAGUACUCUGAUUCCCUGGAUGAGGCAGUGUCUAUCCUUUAUCUGCUCUCCCAAUUCCUUGUAUAUCAUUUCUUAGUGAUGCUUACAUUAUACAUAUUUUCCAUUCUUCUUUACCAAUGAGGAAAUAAUUAAACAGUUUGUGAAUGAAGCAUGGUUAAUAUAUUACUGAUAUUGACUACAUUUGCAAAAAUCUUAGAACAUUUGAUGGAUCAGCAAAAGCAGCAACAUGUUAGAAGCGACUUGCCUCUGUGUGUGUAUAUAAUAUAUUCUAAGCAGUUCAUCCACCUAUGAUUACUGGAACUGCAGCUCUCCUUCAUGAAAAGGAAAAUAUGCCCUACUGUGCACACACAUGUAUGUACAUGUGCACGUGCAGACACACACACACACACAUACACACACACACACACACAUUUUUGCCAGUCACUCCCAAGGUCACAGUAGUAGCCCUUUGCAUUUGAAGGUGAUACAUAGGGAAUGUAAGUGAGGAAGGAAGAGAGAGAUGAGGGCAUGUGCAGCUGAGUGUUUAUGUCUACUCAUAUCAGGUUCCAACCUUAUUUGAAAAGGGGAAAGCGUAGCUAAGAAUCGGGCAGAAUCAACACAUCAUUUAAAUAUUUUACCGUUUUUAAAUCAAAUUCCAUGUGAUAUCCAAUAUUCCUAAAUUGCAAAUUGUGCUGCUAUAUACUUUUGUAUAGUUAUUACAGUUUCAUUAUAUAUCCAAAGGGCUGCUAUAAUUAACAAAAUCCACUUACUCCAAAUUCAGUUUGUGAAAUUGUGUGAUGUGUUUUAUCUGAGUGUCCCACCCCUUUAGCCAUGGUGUAACUAAAAACUUUGAGGGUCAUAAACUGAAAUUCUUAAAAAUGAUAGCUAAAACCUAGCAGAGUCACUCCUGGGAUUUCUUCUAUGCCCCAGGGGAGAAGUGGAAAACCCUUAUCAAUCUGUUGCCCACCUUGAAGCUUUUCUAGUACAGGUGAAAAGUUGCAUCUUUCUCAUGGAUGAAGGAACUUCAGGAGUAUUUUGUCUAUAUCGUGACAUUUUUUGAAGUAGACUAAAUCUAGAAUGAGCCAUGUUCUGGGGGCUGAGCAAUCCUCACUCCCAUGUAGGAUGGUGACUUUUACCUACAUAUGAACAUCAGAAAUCCCUGGGGUCCUUUCAGAAUGCACCUGCCUUGGACUCAGUAGGUCUGGAUUAAAAAUCACCAAUCUUGGAGUUCCCGUCAUGGCUCAGCAGAAAUGAAUAUGAGUAGUAUCCAUAAGGACACAGGUUCAAUCCCUGGCCUCCCUCAGUGAGUUAAGGAUUGGGAAUUGCCACGAGCUCCAGUGUAGGUCCAGAUGCAGCUGGAUCCAGCAUUGCGGUGGCUGUGGCACAGGCCAGUGGCUACAGCUCUGAUUUGACCUCUAGCUUGGGAAACUCCAUAAGACACAGGUGCAGCCCCCCCCCCAAAAAAAAAGGACAAAAAAUAAAUCACCAAUCUAGAGUUAUCUUCCCACAGUCAUGCUAUGAGGGCUCCUAAUAUUUGUCCCUAUUGGACAGAAUGGUAAGAGAUACCAUUCUUUAGGACAAUGACCUGCUACCCUAUGAGUUUUGGAUGUAGACUACCCUAACUUGCCUUCCCUUUCUUUCCACACUUUUGCUUAUUAUUCACAUCUUAUAUGAAAGCAAAGCUCUAACUUUUUUGCCCAUGUUUAUAUAAUAUUUCAAAGAAAUUUCUUAUAGUAUUAAAUAUUUCCAGAGUUCUUGUCGUGGCUCAGUGGUUAAUGAACCCGACUAGCAUCCACGAGGACAUGGGUUGGAGCCCUGACCUCACUCAAUGGGUUAAGGAUCUGGCGUUGCCGUGAGCUGUGGUGUAGGUUGCAGACAUGGCUCAGAUCCUGCAUUGCUGUGGCUCUGACAUAGGCCAAUGGCUACAGCUCAGGUUCACCCCUUAGCCUGGGAACCUCCAUAUGC
rnacentral:lncRNA from 1 species